AUGACGUCAAGUCCGCAUGCUCCUUACGUCUAGGGCUACACACGUCCUACAAUGGGGUCGACAGUGGGAUGCAAAGCCGCGAGGUGGAGCCAAUCCCCAAACGGCCUCUCAGUUCGGAUAGUAGUCUGCAACUCGACUACUUGAAGUCGGAAUCGCUAGUAAUGGCGGAUCAGCAUGCCGCCGUGAAUACGUUCCCGGGUCCUU
rnacentral:rRNA from 1 species